rnacentral:rRNA from 1 species
UACGAAGGGGGCUAGCGUUGUUCGGAAUCACUGGGCGUAAAGCGCACGUAGGCGGAUAUGCCAGUCAGGGGUGAAAUCCCGGAGCUCAACUCCGGAACUGCCUCUGAUACAGCACGUCUUGAGUUCGAGAGAGGUGGGUGGAAUUCCUAGUGUAGAGGUGAAAUUCGUAGAUAUUAGGAAGAACACCGGUGGCGAAGGCGGCCCACUGGCUCGAUACUGACGCUGAGGUGCGAAAGCGUGGGGAGCAAACAGG